rnacentral:lncRNA from 1 species
GGGAGAGAAGGCAGGGUGGCAGGAGUGGAGACCAUGAGCAUUUGAGCCACUUCCUUAUGUAACUUACUUGUGCCUUCAGGACCUGCUCGAGCCCGAUUACGUAUAUACCACUUCCAUUUGUUGAUGGAAUGCUGCUGUGCACCACCCACUUUAUGGCUAGAUGGGUCAGAAAGCACCCAGUUCAUGACAGGCAGUUCAGGUUUACAUGGUGACUUGAUGACCCAUAGCCAAUGUUCAGUUUCCACCAAGGCCCAGUAACAGGCCAAGAGCUGUCACUCAAAAGGAGAGUAGUUAUCUGCAGAAGAAAAUUCUCCAUUCUCCUCUUCCCCCAGCCCCUGGCAACGUCUGUUCUACUUUCUGUCUCUAUGAAUUUGCCUAUUCUAGGUACCUCAUAGAAAAUACUUGUCCUUUUGUGACUGACUUAUCUUACUUAGCAUAAUGUCCUCAGGUCCAUCCAUUUAACUUAAGGCUGAAUAAUAUUCCAUUAUACACACACACACACACACACACACACACAAACAUCACAACACAUUUCGUUUAUCCAUUCAUCCAUUGAUGGACACUUGGUUUGCUCCCACCUUAUGGCUAUUGUGAAUAAUGCUGUGACAUAAGUGUACAAAUAUACGUUCUUAUCCCUGCUUUCACUUCUUUUGGGUAUAUACCCAGACGUGGAAUUGUAUGGUAAUUCUAUGUUUAAAAUUUUGAAGAAUCAUACUAUUUUCUACAGCAGCUGUACCUGUUAAUUCAUUUUCUGCUACAUAUAUUUUAUAGUAUAAAUAUAAUCUUUAGAUAUUGCCAAACUUUUUUCUAAAGUGGUUUGCUAAUAUAUAUAUAACCAUCAACAGUGGAUUAAGAAUUCCUAGUGAUCCAUAUUUUUGCCAAUACUGAGUAUUAUCAGAUUUCUUUAUUUUUGCCAAUUCAGUGGCUUUAAAAUGAAUAUCUUAUGAUAGCCUUGAUUUUAAUUUCCUUGAUUAUCAUUGUGAUUACUCCUCAUUUUAUACGUUUGAAAGUUUUAUUUUUCACAUGGAAGUCUUUGGUCCAUUUAGAAUUAUUAUUUUUGAGAUGGAGUUUCCCUCUUGUAGCCUAGGCUGGAGUGCAAUGGUGCAAUCUGGACUCACUGCAACCUCCUUCUCCUGGGUUCAAGUGAUUCUCCUGCCUCAGCCUUCCGAGUAGCUGGGAUUACAGGCGCCAGCCACCACACCCUGCUAAUUUUGUAUUUUUAGUAGAGACGGGUUUCACCAUGUAGGUCUCGAAUUCCUGACCUCAAGUGAUCUGCCCGCCUCGGCCUCCCAGAGUGCUGGGGUCACAGGCAUAAACCGCAGCGCCCAGCCCAUUUAGAAUUAUUUUUUAUGUAUCGUGUAUGAUACGGGGUCUACUUUCAUUCCUUUGUUACACGGACCACUGAGUGUGCUGGCUCCAUCCUUUUCCCAGUGUACCUCUUACAUGCCAGGUUUCUGUAUCUGGUGGGUCUGCCUCUGAGCUGUCCAUCUGUUCCCUUAGUCAAUUUGUCCACUUAGGUUAAUGGCAUCUCCCUCUAUAGUGAUGGAUCAAGAGGGACUGAUGCUGGGUUAAUCAAGCACUUAUCCCGUACUGUAAUCGCACCUGCAUAUGGACUGUGUGGUUAGAAUUGGCCCGCUGGCUUAAUAAAACAUGGUCCAUGCACUCAUGGAGCUCCCAGACACAUAUUUAAAUCCUGAUGCAAUGUAAUAGUGUGGCAAUGGAAGAAUAUUUGAAAUGUUAUGAGAAAAAAACAGUGAAGGAAACAAUUAAUUCUAGGAAGAGGGUGUCCAAGAAGGUAACAGUUAUGGAAGCUGACUAUGUCAAACAGUAGGUGUAUAACAUCAUGGGUGAGAGCUGAGAUCUAGAGGUAGACAAACUCAUAUUUGAAUCCAAGCACCCACACUCAUUAGCUGUGUGACCCUGACAAAUCCCUGAGACCUCGAUGAGCCUUGACAUCCUUACCUAUCCCACAGGGGUAAUAAUAGUGCCUACCUCAGAAGGUUGUUGGGAAAAUUAAAAUACAUCAUGUGUCAGGAGCACAUAGCAGUACCUGACGUAUUGUUAAGUGCUCAGUAAACAUAAACCUCUGAAUUCAUCCAAUAAUACUGAGUACCUUCUGUGUGCCAGACAUGGUAAUAGGCAUAAAUACAAGUCUGAGCAAAGCAAAUGGUCUCAGCACUCAUGUAGUUUUCAGUGGGAUAGAUAGGUGCUCAUCAAAUAAUGACACAAUUAGAUCAUGAAAGACUUUGAUGAGAACUACAAAGGGAAAUUAUAUAGUAAGCUAAGACAGAGUUGAAUAGGGAAAUGUGAUUUAUGAUUAUUAUUUUCACUACUUCUGAGCCAAAACUUGAAGGAUGAUUAGGAGUUUCUGGGGGAGUGGCAGGAGGGGAAGGUCAUUCAGGCAUUCUGAACUUCAGAGGAAAAGGCCUGGAAUGGGGAAAGCUCUUCCCAAAGUCAGGGGCAAGGGCAAAGUACUCCUCACUGCCCAGAGGCUUCAGGGGGAUUUUUCUUACCCACCUUUCCCAGGAGACAGGCAAGAAAAGGAAGCCGAGUGACUGCCUGUGGCUCCCAAAACAUGUCUUGGCACUCAGUGAACCCCAGUUUUUGGUCAGUGUGAAAAAUUCUCAGUGCCAUUGGCCAGCUCCUUGGUAAUAAUAGGCUGAACAUGAAUGGCGAAAAUGGCUCAAAUUGAAUUGCAAUGAAGUCUUUUUGAUGUAAGUGUUGAUUAGAAAAGGAUUUAGGACUGACUUUAAUUCGGUGCUCCAAAGCUCAAAGAUUAGAAAAAAAGCACUCAGAGAAAAGAAAGUUGUGAUUAAAGGUUUUCCUAAGACAUACGUGAAGUAUUUUGACAGGCUGACAGUGAACACUAUUUCUCAUUUAGAGUAAAUGUGAUUAAGAGUUAUAUUUGCAAGAAGGGAAAACUAGGUGAGUAUGAGGGAUUUUGUUCUGGAACAAGUACAAUCCAAUAGCUCUCAAAUUUUAGUGGAGCCUGCUAGCAAAUUUAGGCUCCUUGGCCAUCCCCUAGACUCGGUGGGAGUGCCCUGGGCCCAGGGCUCUGCAUUUUUAACCAGUGCUCCGUGCCACCCUACCCCCAACCUGCCCAAGGGAUUUCUGAUGCUGGAGAAUUCACUGUGAAAAACCUUAUAGACUUAAGUCUUUAACUCUUUCCUUUCUUUGUCUUUGCUUUCAAAUUCCUUUUUUAGAAGGAUCUCAAGAUUGGGCUCUGGCAGGGUAUGGUGGCUUAUGCCUGUAAUCCCAGCACUUUGGGAGGCCGAGGCCGGUGGAUUACCUGAGGUCAGGAGUUUGAGACCAGCCUGACCAACAUAGUGAAAACCCAUCUCUACUAAAAAAUUAUAAAAAUUAGCCAGGUGUGGUGGCGGCCACCUGUAAUUGCAGCUACUUGGGAGACUGAGGCAGGAUAAUUGCUUGAACCUGGGAGGCGGAGGUUGCAGUGAGCCAAGGUCGUGCCACUGCAUUCCAGCCUGGGCAACAGAAUGAGACUCUGUCUCAAAAAAAAAGAAUGGGCUCUUUCUUUUCCAUUUCUCCUCACCUCCCUCAGUGUCAGCUGGGCACCUUAGGCAGGAUUUCUUGGACAGGUAGCAUGAGCAUGUGAAACUGGGAGGGUGGGAAACAGGAAUUAAGCUGAUCGGGCAGCCAGCCUAUCCCAGCCAAGUCAAUCUGCUUUUCUACACAUUGUUCUGGCCAAAAACACCUAUCUUUAAGCUUUAUGCUGCUCACUGCUGCCAACUGGCCACCCAACCAUGGAUUCAUAUAAAAGUGUUGGAGUUAACAGCAUAGGCUCUGGACUUGGGUGACUUCAGUUAGAGUCCCAGCUCUGCCACUUACUAACAUGCAACCUUGGACAAAUUACUGAACCCUUCUGAGCCCUUCCUUCCCUUCUGGUGUGGAAAGGCUUCUGUGAGGAUGUAACAGGGUAAUAAGUGAGUGUGUCUGGCACAGGCGCUGGCAUAUAGUGAGCAGGCAACAUGGGGCACGCUCCUACCCAUCGCAUGGAAGGUGGACAGCACGCUCCUACCCAUCGCAUGGAAGGUGGACAGCACCAGGCAGACAUCUGGUCCUGCACACAGUCCCUCUUGUUCUGACUGCUGAACUUUUGCUGUUACUUCUUCUCGGAUAAACUUCCAUCUCAUUCUCAUAUUCAUUUUAUUUAUUUAUUUAUUUAUUUGAGACAGGGUCUCACUCUGUCACCCAAGCUGGAGUGCAGUGGUGUGAUCACAGCUCACUGCAGCCUUGACCUCCCAGGCUCAAGCAAUCCUCCCACCUCAGCCUCUGCCUCCCACAUUCCUGGGAUUACAGGCAUAAACUACUGUACCCAGCCAUAGUUCCCAUAUACAUUUAACUAAAUUAUUUUCAGAGCUCAACUGAAGUCCCAUUUCUAUGAAAUCUUUCACUGCAGCAGUAGCUUUAGCUUCCAGAGAUGUUUUCUUUCUCUAGAUUACUGUUAUGGCUUUAAUCCACACCUGCCCCAUUUAGGUUCUGGUUACAUUCUGCUUUAUACUGAUUUUUAAUCAUUACAUGGGCAUUUUGUCAUCUCAUCUAAAAUAAAACUCUUGGAGGUCAGGGUCAAUAUUUUGCUUCUAGUAACUGCAGGAAAAACCUGUAUACAUGAAAAGGAGGUAGAAGUUUGCAUUGCCAAGCUGGGUGUGGUGGCUCACGCCUGUAAUCCCAGCACUUUGGGAGGCCAAGGUGGACAGAUUUCUUGAGCCCUAGAGUUUGAGACCAGCCUGGGUAGCGUGGUGAAACUCUACAAAAACUACAAAAAGUAAAUCAGACAUGGUGGUAGGUGCCCGUAGUGCCAGCUACUUCAGGAAGCUGAGCCCAGGAAGUUGAGGCUACAAUGAGCUGUGAUCGAGCCAUUGCACUCCAGCCUGGAUGACAGAGUGAGACCUGUCUCAACAACAACAACAACAACAAAAGGAGUUUGCAUUGACUAGCUUGAGGUACUCUCUUUUUCUUUCGAGAUGGGGUCUUGCUCUGUUGCCCAGGUUGGAGUGCAGCGUCAUGAUUAUACUUCACUGCAGCUGUGAUCUCCUGGACUCACGCAAACCUCCCACCUCAGCCUUCUGAGUAGCUGAGACUACAGUUGUGCGCUACCUACCAUGCCUGGCUAAUUUUAUUUUUAUUUGUUAUUAUUAUUUUUUUAGAGACAGGGUCUCACUAUGUUGCCCAGGCUGGUCUUGAAUUCUUGGGCUCAAGCGAUUCUUCUGCCUCAGCCUCCUGAGUAUCUGAGAGUACAGUCUCGAGCCACCAUGCCCAGCUGAUGUAAUUUUUCUUGCCUAGUGAAGAGUGAAGGCUCUGAAUUUUCAUAAUUCUCAUAUAUGAAUUCUUAAAUAAUUUUCAAAGAAUCAUGCAUUCUUUAUAUUCGAUUUCACAUUUCACAUAUACAGAAAUAUGUGAAAUUCAUUAGCAAACUAUAUCUACCCCUUUCUCCUCAACACACGCACACUCCAAAGGAGGGACAAUUGGAAGCCAAGAUUAUCAUAAAAAAGCUGUUGGUACUAGGAUGCUAAUCUCCGCAGUUUCCACUGGGGGCCGGUGUCCUCUCCUCUUAUGUGCACACAUGCUGAUGCGGGGGGUUGUCAUCCUCAGUCCCAACCCCUUCCUGGUUGGUUGUGAAUGGGUCUGGAGGCUUCUGGUGGCUGUCCCUAUCACUGCCCCACUGUGGCUGUACUCUGAGGCAGAGGCUCUGCAUCACUGCUCUUCAAAUGUUUUGCUUAGACACUGUUCUCUUCCCAUCCCCAAAAAGGACACCCUCUUCAAGCAAAAUGCCCUCAGCCAGCAGUUGACAGUCUGCACUGAAUAUUAUCACAGCUGCUCAGAAGCAGGUUGGCAGUUCCUGGGAGGCUGGGCUGGGGGCAUUUGCGUGACACAUCCCUGUGUGGCAGUCUUCACUUUCGGUCUUGAAAUAAAGCAUGCAACUUUUGAAUUUCCUCUACCUUAGUUUUCUGUCUUCUGGGGACAUUGUUUCCAAAAGGGCGGCUUUCAGAGGUCUCAACCUCAUGGUCUGGGAGCUUGAUCUUUCAUCCCCAGCCCUUUCCCUUUUCCUCCUGGGAAGCCCAACGUCUUUCCUGCAAUGUGACUUCUACAGGCCUGCUGUGGCAUCCCAGUGACAUCCAGGAAAGGCCCCCCCUUCAUCUUGACACCAAAUGUAAGCAUCCAAGGUAAGCAUCCUGCCAUGAAGUGGGUCUGUAUCUGUGUCUCUGAACCAUGGGGCAGUAUAUCUGCUAUCUUUUUCCGGUAAUUAAACCUUCCUCUUGUGCCCCAGUUUUACUCACUGGGCACCUGCAUUGUUCCCCUCUGCCAGAAUCCACGUUGGUAUUUGUCUCUUUGUUCCUCUGGAAUCAGACUUCCAGGCUGCACCCUGGACUUGGGUCUCAUCUGAGCUCUGCCCGUUUCCUGCUAUCGUACUUCCUGAAACUGCAGGGGUCACGCAGACUGGUGGCCCCUGCCUACCCUCGGCCCCGCUGUCUAAGCAGCCACGCUGGGUCCCUGGGGC